AURGAUGAGCCUAMGUCGGAUUAGMUAGUUGGUGGKGUAAAGGCCUASCCAARRYGACGAUCKGUMSCGGGUCUGAGAGGAUGAUCYGCCRCACUGGGACUGAGACACGGCCCAGACUCCUAYGGGAGGCAGCAGUGGGGAAUAUUGGACAAUGGGGGGAACCCUGAUCCAGCCAUGCCGCGUGUGUGAAGAAGGCCUUAUGGUUGUAAAGCACUUUAAGCGAGGAGGAGGCUACUGAGACUAAUACUCUUGGAUAGUGGACGUUACUCGCAGAAUAAGCACCGGCUAACUCUGUGCCAGCAGCCGCGGUAAUACAGAGGGUGCGAGCGUUAAUCGGAUUUACUGGGCGUAAAGCGUGCGUAGGCGGCUUUUUAAGUCGGAUGUGAAAUCCCCGAGCUUAACUUGGGAAUUGCAUUCGAUACUGGGAAGCUAGAGUAUGGGAGAGGAUGGUAGAAUUCCAGGUGUAGCGGUGAAAUGCGUAGAGAUCUGGAGGAAUACCGAUGGCGAAGGCAGCCAUCUGGCCUAAUACUGACGCUGAGGUACGAAAGCAUGGGGAGCAAACAGGAUUAGAUACCCUGGUAGUCCAUGCCGUAAACGAUGUCUACUAGCCGUUGGGGCCUUUGAGGCUUUAGUGGCGCAGCUAACGCGAUAAGUAGACCGCCUGGGGAGUACGGUCGCAAGACUAAAACUCAAAUGAAUUGACGGGGGCCCGCACAAGCGGUGGAGCAUGUGGUUUAAUUCGAUGCAACGCGAAGAACCUUACCUGGCCUUGACAUACUAGAAACUUUCCAGAGAUGGAUUGGUGCCUUCGGGAAUCUAGAUACAGGUGCUGCAUGGCUGUCGUC
rnacentral:rRNA from 1 species